CUCUUCCAGAAAAAAAGGGCUAUCCACUUAAAAUCCUUAUUAAAAUAGAAUUUAGGAGGAAAGAACCCAUUUUCUACUGUUUCAGUAGUGCUUGAACAAUUUAAACUGAGCAGACAAAUUCUCCUCUGCAGUCCCUCCCACUGCAUCCUUACAGAACUCUACAUAGAGCAAUUUAACUUAAAGGCAUAACCCAGCUGAAUUCUAAUCAUUUUAGAAUUAAUUCUACUCUAAUCAUUUAUAUCUGAGGCUGGCUUUGAACUUGCAAUCUUCCUACCUCAGCCUCCUGAGCCACUGGGAUUACAAAUGUGGGCCACUGCGUCAGGAAGCUGUUAGGUUUUUAAGAUCAUAAAAAUGUGAUUUUGACCAAAUAACAUAUAAAUCAAAUAGAGAUAAAUGUGUGUGGACCAAAUCUGCAGGGAAGCCCAUUGAAUACUAAAAUGUGGUAUUUGGGAACUUCCAGUGGCAGUCUUGAUGGUAAGAUCACCCACACCUAUGAGUCCUAUUCAGCUCUGCCAGAUCCCACACAGCACUGGACAAGAGGUGAAUGCUGCAGCCACAGAGCCUCUCAGAGAUGGGUAUAGCCUUCCAAGAUGCCAGUCAACCUGUUAACUACAAGACAUUAUGAAGCAAGACUUUACCCCUGAAACCUUAUCCCUGCCUUUGAUAUACCUCCUUAAAUAAGCCACUGGAGCCAUUUUCUAAUUGUUCAGCUCCAUCUCCUAUGUGGGCUGGAUAUAUAAGGCGCUCUGCUUUUGAAACCUAUUCUUUGACUCUGCCUCUUAUUUCUUCAUUAACUAUUGCAGAUUGUAUUUUCUGAGGUGGCUUAUCCCCUCCUGCACAGGAAAAAUUACCCUGGUGAGGCACUGGUUGCCUUGUGAUAGAUAAAUGUUUGUAAAUGUACACAGUAACAAAAAUAAUUAUUUUUACACUGUUUAAAGGUUUCCUCUAAUCUGUUCAGUAACUAAACUUAUAAGACAGAUAUCCAUAAUCUAAUGGAUAUUAAUUAAAUAUCUAGAUCAUUUCCAAAUAAGAUGAAAUAUUAGUGUAUUAGUUAAUAAACAUAUGUUCAAGCAUUUUUACUUUUGGCUUCAUAAAGUUUGUAGGGAGGGGCUGGGGAUGUGGCUCAAGCAGUAGCGCACUCCCCUGGCAUGCGUGCGGCCCGGGUUCGAUCCUCAGCACUAC
rnacentral:lncRNA from 1 species